rnacentral:rRNA from 1 species
ACUACGGGAGGCAGCAGUGAGGAAUAUUGGUCAAUGGGCGCGAGCCUGAACCAGCCAAGUCGCGUGAGGGAAGACGGUCCUCUGGAUUGUAAACCUCUUUUGUCGGGGAGCAAACGACGCCACGCGUGGCGUUCCGAGAGUACCCGAAGAACAAGCAUCGGCUAACUCCGUGCCAGCAGCCGCGGUAAUACGGAGGAUGCGAGCGUUAUCGGGAGUUAUUGGGUUAAAAGGGUGCGCAGGCGGAAGAUCAAGUCAGCGGGAAAAUUGCGGGGCUCAAACUCGACGAGCCGUUGAAACUGGGAUUCUGGAGUGAAGGAGGAGUAGGCGGAAUGCGUGGUGUAGCGGUGAAAUGCAUAGAUAUCACGAAGAACUCCGAUUGCGAAGGCAGCAUACCGGCGCUUAACUGACGCUCAGGCACGAAAGUGUGGGUAUCGAACAGGAUUAGAUACCCGAGUAGUC